rnacentral:tRNA from 1 species
GGGCGGGUGGCGGAAUGGCAGACGCGCCAGCCUUAGGAGCUGGUGGGGAGACCCGUAGAGGUUCGAGUCCUCUUCCGCCCA